AAUUUUGGAAGAGAAUAGAAAAGUUACCUUUUUUUCUUUUAUUGAGUCAUUAUGGGAAAAUUAGGAUAUAGAGGGAAUGGGAAAAAUGGAAGAGCAUUAUGCUCUUGGGGCUGCCAAAUUAUAGAGAGAAGAGAGAGAGAGAGAGAGGGCGUGACCUAGAGAGAGAAGAAGAAGAAGAAGAAGAAGAAAAAGGGUUCAAGCUAGGGCUCGUUGAGAGGUUGUGAAAUUUCUUAGCUCGGACCUGAGGUAGCAAAUAGGAUUUCUCUGUGGCACGCGUGGUGACGUGAGGAGUUCUAUCGUCGUAGGGUGUAUGGCGUGGGGUAUCCUAUGGACGGAAUAAACGAUCACUUUAUGAUGCCAUUUUAAUUAUGUUAUGUUUUAAGAGACUUUCUAAAUUAUCACUGGGACUUAAUUAUUUAAUAUUGUUUCUUUUGAACUUUGCAUAAAAACUCAUAUUUUCUUUUUAAACUAAUGGGCCCAACUUGCAUUGUUUUAAGCAAGUCCCCACUGAGACCUUUAUAAAAAGUGGUUUUCUUUAUGGACCAACGAUAUGUGAAUGUUUUAAUAAGUACUAGU